rnacentral:rRNA from 1 species
AUACGUAGGUGGCAAGCGUUGUCCGGAUUUACUGGGUGUAAAGGGCGUGUAGGCGGAGAUGCAAGUCAGGAGUGAAAUCUAGGGGCUCAACCCCUAAACUGCUUUUGAAACUGUAUCCCUUGAGUAUCGGAGAGGCAGGCGGGCAUUCUUGGGUAGCGGGGAAAUGCGUAGAUAUUAGGAGGAACACCAGUGGCGAAGGCGGCCUGCUGGACGACAACUGACGCUGAGGCGCGAAAGCGCGGGGAGCAAACAGGAUUAGAUACCCUGGUAGUCCACGCUGUAAACGAUGAAUACUAGGUGUGGGGGGACUGACCCCCUCCGUGCCGCAGUUAACACAAUAAGUAUUCCACCUGGGGAGUACGAUCGCAAGAUUGAAACUCAAAGGAAUUGACGGGG